rnacentral:rRNA from 1 species
UAGAGUUUGAUCCUGGCUCAGGAUGAACGCUAGCGACAGGCUUAACACAUGCAAGUCGAGGGGCAGCGGGGUAGGAAGCUUGCUUUCUGCCGCCGGCGACCGGCGCACGGGUGAGUAACACGUAUGCAACCUGGCCGUGACAGAUGGAUAACCGGGAGAAAUCCCGCCUAAUACAACAUAAUGCCGGGAGGGGACAUCCCCUGCCGGCCAAAGGGGGCGACCCCGGCCAUGGAUGGGCAUGCGGCGCAUUAGGUAGUUGGUGGGGCAACGGCCCACCAAGCCGACGAUGCGUAGGGGUUCUGAGAGGAAGGUCCCCCACAUUGGAACUGAGACACGGUCCAAACUCCUACGGGAGGCAGCAGUGAGGAAUAUUGGUCAAUGGCCGGAAGGCUGAACCAGCCAAGUCGCGUGAGGGAAUAAGGCCCUACGGGUCGUAAACCUCUUUUGCCAGGGAGCAAUGCCGUCCACGUGUGGACGGAAGGAGAGUACCUGGAGAAAAAGCAUCGGCUAACUCCGUGCCAGCAGCCGCGGUAAUACGGAGGAUGCGAGCGUUAUCCGGAUUUAUUGGGUUUAAAGGGUGCGUAGGCGGCCUGCCAAGUCAGCGGUAAAAUUGCGGGGCUCAACCCCGUACAGCCGUUGAAACUGCCGGGCUCGAGUGGGCGAGAAGUAUGCGGAAUGCGUGGUGUAGCGGUGAAAUGCAUAGAUAUCACGCAGAACCCCGAUU